ensembl:lncRNA
GUACCAGUUAGAUACCAGUCCUCACACAGAUACCAGUUAGAUACUAGUCCUCACACCAGUCUCUCCUCUCCUCACACAGAUACCAGUUAGAUACUAGUCCUCACACCAGUCUCUCCUCUCCUCACACAGAUACCAGUUAGAUACUAGUCCUCACACCAGUCUCUCCUCUCCUCACACAGAUACCAGUUAGAUACUAGUCCUCACACAGGUACCAGUUAGAUACCAGUCCUCACACAGAUACCAGUUAGAUACUAGUCCUCACACCAGUCUCUCCUCUCCUCACACAGAUACCAGUUAGAUACUAGUCCUCACACCAGUCUCUCCUCUCCUCACACAGAUACCAGUUAGAUACUAGUCCUCACACCAGUCUCUCCUCUCCUCACACAGAUACCAGUUAGAUACUAGUCCUCACACAGGUACCAGUUAGAUACCAGUCCUCACACAGAUACCAGUUAGAUACCAGUCCUCACACAGAUACCAGUUAGAUACUAGUCCUCACACCAGUCUCUCCUCUCCUCACACAGAUACCAGUUAGAUACUAGUCCUCACACAGGUACCAGUUAGAUACCAGUCCUCACACAGAUACCAGUUAGAUACCAGUCCUCACACAGAUACCAGUUAGAUACUAGUCCUCACACAGAUACCAGUUAGAUACCAGUCCUCACACAGAUACCAGUUAGAUACCAGUCCUCACACAGAUACCAGUUAGAUACUAGUCCUCACACCAGUCUCUCCUCUCACAGAUACCAGUCCUCACACAGAUACCAGUUAGAUACUAUUCCUCACACAGAUACCAGUUAGAUACUAGUCCUCACACAGUUACCAGUUAGAUACCAGUCCUCACACAGAUACCAGUUAGAUACUAGUCCUCACACAGUUACCAGUUAGAUACCAGUCCUCACAUAGGUACCAGUUAGAUACUAGUCCUCACACCAGUCUCUCCCCUCCUCACACAGAUACCAGUUAGAUACUAGUUCUCACACAGAUACCAGUUAGAUACCAGUCCUCACACCAGUCUCUCCUCUCCUCACACAGAUACCAGUUAGAUACUAGUCCUCACACCAGUCUCUCCUCUCCUCACACAGAUACCAGUUAGAUACUAGUCCUCACACCAGUCUCUCCUCUCCUCACACAGAUACCAGUUAGAUACCAGUCCUCACACAGGUACCAGUUAGAUACCAGUCCUCACACCAGUCUCUCCUCUCCUCACACAGAUACCAGUUAGAUACCAGUCCUCACACCAGUCUCUCCUCUCCUCACACAGAUACCAGUUAGAUACUAGUCCUCACACCAGUCUCUCCUCUCCUCACACAGAUACCAGUUAGAUACCAGUCCCCACACAGAUACCAGUUAGAUACUAGUCCUCACACCAGUCUCUCCUCUCCUCACACAGAUACCAGUUAGAUACCAGUCCUCACACAGGUACCAGUUAGAUACCAGUCCUCACACCAGUCUCUCCUCUCCUCACACAGAUACCAGUUAGAUACCAGUCCUCACACCAGUCUCUCCUCUCCUCACACAGAUACCAGUUAGAUACUAGUCCUCACACCAGUCUCUCCUCUCCUCACACAGAUACCAGUUAGAUACCAGUCCUCACACAGAUACCAGUUAGAUACUAGUCCUCACACCAGUCUCUCCUCUCCUCACACAGAUACCAGUUAGAUACCAGUCCUCACACAGGUACCAGUUAGAUACCAGUCCUCACACCAGUCUCUCCUCUCCUCACACAGAUACCAGUUAGAUACUAGUCCUCACACCAGUCUCUCCUCUCCUCACACAGAUACCAGUUAGAUACCAGUCCUCACACAGAUACCAGUUAGAUACUAGUCCUCACACCAGUCUCUCCUCUCCUCACACAGAUACCAGUUAGAUACCAGUCCUCACACAGGUACCAGUUAGAUACCAGUCCUCACACCAGUCUCUCCUCUCCUCACACAGAUACCAGUUAGAUACUAGUCCUCACACCAGUCUCUCCUCUCCUCACACAGAUACCAGUUAGAUACUAGUCCUCACACCAGUCUCUCCUCUCCUCAGACUCAGAAUCACACACCUUUCAAGGCUCAUCUUGA